CUCGGCGAUCAUGUAGACGCCGUCCGCGUACGAAGAGGGCGCCUUGCGCACCAGCUGGCUCUCUGCAAGCAAGCGCGGGUUUCAUGUUGAUGGCGAUGCUCGGUUCACCUUCGGCCGUCGCACUGCAGCGCCUGGGUUACCCAUCGGAAAAUACCGGACCUCAUAAAGACACCGAGCUGAAUGGUUUACGUUGGAUGCGCAGUCAAUCGCCGAGUCCGUCACCGGAUCAACCACCAGUUCUGGAUAUGACUGCAUUACUCGGUUGUCAACAUGGAACCUUUUCUACGACCAGCACAGUACUAAAGCACAACCAUUUCGACGGCACUUCGGCCCAAGACACCGCAGCUGUGAUGCCCCGCUAACUUUUCAUGCUUAUGCUGGCGCACCUAAAUGAUGCUUUUUCUUUUCGUAACAACGACGUGUUCUUAUUAGCGGUGUCGUGGCCACCCGAUUCAAUGAAGUGUUUUUGUGA